UAGAACGCUGAAGCUUGGUGCUUGCACCGAGCGGAUGAGUUGCGAACGGGUGAGUAACGCGUAGGUAACCUGCCUGGUAGCGGGGGAUAACUAUUGGAAACGAUAGCUAAUACCGCAUAAAAUGGAUUAUCGCAUGAUAAUUCAUUGAAAGGUGCAAAUGCAUCACUACCAGAUGGACCUGCGUUGUAUUAGCUAGUUGGUGGGGUAACGGCUCACCAAGGCGACGAUACAUAGCCGACCUGAGAGGGUGAUCGGCCACACUGGGACUGAGACACGGCCCAGACUCCUACGGGAGGCAGCAGUAGGGAAUCUUCGGCAAUGGACGGAAGUCUGACCGAGCAACGCCGCGUGAGUGAAGAAGGUUUUCGGAUCGUAAAGCUCUGUUGUAAGAGAAGAACGAGUGCGAGAGUGGAAAGUUCACACUGUGACGGUAUCUUACCAGAAAGGGACGGCUAACUACGUGCCAGCAGCCGCGGUAAUACGUAGGUCCCGAGCGUUGUCCGGAUUUAUUGGGCGUAAAGCGAGCGCAGGCGGUUAGAUAAGUCUGAAGUCAAAGGCUGUGGCUUAACCAUAGUACGCUUUGGAAACUGUUUAACUUGAGUGCAAGAGGGGAGAGUGGAAUUCCAUGUGUGGCGGUGAAAUGCGUAGAUAUAUGGAGGAACACCGGUGGCGAAAGCGGCUCUCUGGCUUGUAACUGACGCUGAGGCUCGAAAGCGUGGGGAGCAAACAGGAUU
rnacentral:rRNA from 1 species